rnacentral:lncRNA from 1 species
AGUGGUUUAUGCUAUAUUCCACCUAACAUAGAAUUUGCUAUCAGAAGUGGGGUGCUGUCAUAACAUAACCCAAAAUAAGUGGUUUAGUGGUUGGGCAGCAGGAGGCAAAGAAAAACAUUGCAGGCUGAGAAUCUGGUGACUCCUGUUACAUCCUGACAAAAUAUUCAGAAAAAUGUUCUCUAAUAAAACUUUGAAAGACAGACUGUAUGAUGCUAGAUCAAGAAACUUUGGUGAAACUGGUUGGAAAAGUCAGAAUGUUGAUGUAGUCUAGAAAUUUCUUAUCACUUUUAGAUUGAUGACAUCAGUCUAGUUAUAAAAGGUGACUCAUAAUCUAAAGUGGCAGCUUUAGCAAAUGGUAGUGUUUUAGCCCAAGACUUUCCCAUCACUUGCCAGCAAGACUUCCCAUCCAAAUGGUGAGAGCUAAUCCAGAAGCAAAAAUCAGAUUAAGGGUGCUGCCUUCCCAACCAAAUCUAUUGUUUCAGAUGGUCCCAAAGAAGCUAUAAUUAAUGAGAAAAUGAGAAAGAGAGAGUGAGAGUGAGAGUAAGAGAGAGAGAGAGAGAGUUGGAGCACAAAGACCAGUACAUGUAAGAUCAGUUUUUUUUGUUGUUUUUUUUUUUUUUAAAAAAAACUCUGUUUGGAUGAACUCUUUGGCUGCAG